GUAGGGAAUAUUGGGCAAUGGAUGCAAGUCUGACCCAGCCAUCCCGCGUGCCGGAAGAAGGCCCUCAGGGUUGUAAACGGCUUUUGACGGUGAAGAAUCGACAGGAUGCGUCCUGUUUCGACGGUAGCCGUUGAAUAAGCACCGGCUAACUCCGUGCCAGCAGCCGCGGUAAUACGGAGGGUGCGAGCGUUGUCCGGAUUUAUUGGGUUUAAAGGGUGCGUAGGCUGGAAGGUCAGUCAGCGGUGAAAAGCUGUCGCUUAACGAUAGUCUUGCCGCAGAUACGUCAUUUCUUGGAUGAGGAGGAGGCCACUGGAACGGAUGGUGUAGCGGUGAAAUGCAUAGAUAUCAUCCAGAACACCGAUUGCGAAGGCAGGUGGCUGUACCUUAAUCGACGCUGAUGCACGAAAGCAUGGGGAGCAAACAGGAUUAGAAACCCCAGUAGUCC
rnacentral:rRNA from 1 species